AGGGGAGCGCCGGAUCUUGGGCUGUGUCCCCCAGCGCCCUUGGCUCUGGGGCUUUCUAAGAAAAGCCGCUAGAAUCGCGCUCCCGGCCGCGCAGCCCCCU
rnacentral:pre_miRNA from 1 species